CGGGGUGAGUAACGCGUGGGUAACCUGCCUCACACUGGGGGACAACAGCUGGAAACGGCUGCUAAUACCGCAUAAGCGCACAGCUUCGCAUGAAGCAGUGUGAAAAACUCCGGUGGUGUGAGAUGGACCCGCGUCUGAUUAGCUAGUUGGUAAGGUAACGGCUUACCAAGGCGACGAUCAGUAGCCGACCUGAGAGGGUGACCGGCCACAUUGGGACUGAGACACGGCCCAA
rnacentral:rRNA from 1 species